GUCCGUUUAGCUCAGUUGGCAGAGCGUCGUGCUAAUAACGCGAAUGUCGUGGGUUCGAUCCCCCCAAUGGCCA
rnacentral:tRNA from 1 species